rnacentral:rRNA from 1 species
ACGAACGCUGGCGGCAGGCCUAACACAUGCAAGUCGAACGCUCCAGCAAUGGAGAGUGGCAGACGGGUGAGUAACACGUGGGAACCUUCCCUAUGGUUCGGAAUAGCCCAGGGAAACUUGGGGUAAUACCGGAUAAGCCCUUCGGGGGAAAGAUUUAUCGCCAUUGGAUGGGCCCGCGUCGGAUUAGCUAGUUGGUGAGGUAACGGCUCACCAAGGCGACGAUCCGUAGCUGGUCUGAGAGGAUGAUCAGCCACACUGGGACUGAGACACGGCCCAGACUCCUACGGGAGGCAGCAGUGGGGAAUAUUGGACAAUGGGCGCAAGCCUGAUCCAGCCAUGCCGCGUGAGUGACGAAGGCCUUAGGGUUGUAAAGCUCUUUUGGCGGGGAAGAUAAUGACGGUACCCGCAGAAUAAGCUCCGGCUAACUUCGU